CGCGACCCCAGGUCAGGCGGGGU
rnacentral:rRNA from 6 species